UACGGGGGGAGCAAGCGUUGUUCGGAUUUACUGGGCGUAAAGGGCGCGUAGGCGGCCACCGCAAGUCACUUGUGAAAUCUCCGGGCUUAACCCGGAGCGGUCAAGUGAUACUGUCGUGCUAGAGUGCGGAAGGGGCUACUGGAAUUCUCGGUGUAGCGGUGAAAUGCGUAGAUAUCGAGAGGAACACCUGCGGCGAAGGCGGGUAGCUGGGCCGACACUGACGCUGAUGCGCGAAAGCCAGGGGAGCGAACGGG
rnacentral:rRNA from 1 species